CCUACGGGUGGCUGCAGUGGGGGAUAUUGCACAAUGGGGGAAACCCUGAUGCAGCGACGCAGCGUGGGCGAAGACGUAUUUCGGUAUGUAAAGCCCUAUCAGCAGGGAAGAAGGAGGACGGUACCUGACUAAGAAGCCCCGGCUAACUACGUGACAGCAGCCGCGGUAAUACGUAGGGGGCAAGCGUUAUCCGGAUUUACUGGGUGUAAAGGGGGCGCAGACGGCAGCGCAAGCCAGGAGUGAAAGCCCGGGGCCCAACCCCGGGACUGCUCUUGAAACUGCGCGGCUGGAGUGCAGGAGGGGCAGGCGGAAUUCCUGGUGUAGCGGUGAAAUGCUUAGAUAUCAGGAGGAACACCGGUGGCGAAGGCGGCCUGCUGGACUGCGACUGACGUUGAGGCCCGAAAGCGUGGGGAGCAAACAGGAUUAGAUACCCGAGUAGUC
rnacentral:rRNA from 1 species